rnacentral:rRNA from 1 species
UACAGAGGGUGCGAGCGUUGUCCGGAAUCACUGGGCGUAAAUGGCGCGUAGGUGGCGCGACAAGUCAGUGGUGAAAGUUCGACGCUCAACGUCGAAUCGGCCACUGAUACUGUUGGGCUUGAGCACUGUAGAGGCUAAUGGAAUUCCGGGUGUAGCGGUGGAAUGCGUAGAGAUCCGGAAGAACACCGGUGGCGAAGGCGGUUAGCUGGGCAGUUGCUGACACUGAGGCGCGACAGCGUGGGGAGCAAACAGG